UAAGACCCUUGAUAGGCUAUUGAUACACACACCAUAUCAUCGUGUGACUCCAAAUUUAACUUCGAUAUGAUGGUUAGUGUAUCAAUAUUUACGCUAAAGGCGUUUCCACUACCAUUUACUUCCAUUCAUUUGGACCAUGGCUGGGAAGACCUUGGGAACGGCUUUGGGCUCAUGCAGGCGAAAUUCCCAGCAUGGCCCAAGGAGCACCAGCUGAAAGGGGGAAUUUCGCCCAACAAUGCCAGGGACAAAAAUGUCCGCACCUAUUAGAGAAUAGACAUGGGCACCACUGGGGGUGUGACUAUUCCAAUGAAGUAGUUGCCAGAUCGCAAUGGUUCAAAAGCCAAGGUUAUUGAAGAGUCUGGGGGGUGACUAUUCCAAUGACGUCGUUGCCAGAUCUCAAUGGUUCAAAAGCCAGGGUUAUUGAAGAGUCUGGGGGGUGACUAUUCCAAUGACUUCGUUGCCAGAUCUCAAUGGUUCAAACGCCAAGGUUAUUGAAGAGUCUGGGGGGUGACUAUUCCAAUGACUUCGUUGCCAGAUCUCAAUGGUUCAAACGCCAAGGUUAUUGAAGAGUCUGGGGGGUGACUAUUCCAAUGACGUCGUUGCCAGAUCUCAAUGGUUCAAAAGCAAAGGUUAUUGAAGAGUCUGGGAGUGACUAUUCCAAUGACGUCGUUGCCAAAUCCUACUUCCUACCACUUACAUUUUACAUUUUAGUCAUUUAGCAGACGCUCUUAUCCAGAGCGACUUACAGUUAGUGCAUACAUUAUUU